AUACUUACCUGGCAAGGGAGAUACCAUGAUUACAAAAGUGGCUUUCCCAGGGUGAGACUCAGCCAUUGCACCUUGAAUGUGCUGAUCCCUGUGAGUUCUUUAUGUGUGGGGAACUCAACUGAAUAUUUUGUGGUAGGUGGGGGACUUGCCACUUUCCCUU